GCCCUGAUUAUAAUUCUGUUAGGUCGGCUCACUUAAGAAACGAGUUUAAAAUAUUGUCUCUAGGACAAAGAAGGGACUUAAUGGUAAUUAUGUUUAUAUACAAUAUAAUUAACAAUAAGAUUAACAGCCCAUAUUUACUUUCACUCAUUCCAUUCAAUAUUGCUCCUCGUCGGACACGAUCUUCAUUAAUGUUCAAUAUACCUCACAAUCUUGUUGCAACAAGAUCUCCCCUUGCCAAUGCACUUAAGUUAUUAAACAAUUUUAACAGUUUAAUUGAUGUAGAUUGGUCCUUGAAUCGGACAAAGUUUUAUAAAUUGAUACUAAGUCAAAUUUUAAACACCUCUAUGUAAAAAAUAUUCAAGCCUCUACAAUGCUGGAAGUGAUAAUGAGAUAAUUUGUAUAAUUUUUAUAUAACUUAGAAAGUCAUCUAUUUAAAACUAUAGAAUUGUAAAUGUAUAUUUUUUUUAGCCAUGUAAUGAGACAUUUAGUCUGUAUGGUUAAUAAAUAAAUAAAUAAAUAAAUAAAU
rnacentral:lncRNA from 1 species